rnacentral:rRNA from 1 species
UACGUAGGGUCCGAGCGUUGUCCGGAAUUAUUGGGCGUAAAGCGCGCGUAGGCGGCCCGGUAAGUCCGUUGUGAAAGUCAAAGGCUCAACCUUUGAACGCCGAUGGAUACUGCCGGGCUAGAGUCCGGAAGAGGCGAGUGGAAUUCCUGGUGUAGCGGUGGAAUGCGUAGAUAUCGGGAGGAACACCUGAGGCGAAGGCGGGCUACUGGGCCGAUACUGACGCUGAUGCGCGAAAGCGUGGGGAGCAAACAGG